rnacentral:rRNA from 1 species
GUGGGGAAUAUUGGACAAUGGGCGCAAGCCUGAUCCAGCCAUGCCGCGUGUGUGAAGAAGGCCUUCGGGUUGUAAAGCACUUUCAGUUGGGAGGAAGGCCUGUAAGUUAAUACCUUGCAGGAUUGACGUUACCAACAGAAGAAGCACCGGCUAACUCCGUGCCAGCAGCCGCGGUAAUACGGAGGGUGCACGCGUUAAUCGGAAUUACUGGGCGUAAAGCGCGCGUAGGUUGUUAGUUAAGCGAGAUGUGAAAUCCCCGGGCUUAACCUGGGAAUUGCGUUUCGAACUGGCUGACUAGAGUACGGUAGAGGGUGGUGGAAUUUCAGGUGUAGCGGUGAAAUGCGUAGAGAUCUGAAGGAACAUCAGUGGCGAAGGCGACCACCUGGACUGAUACUGACACUGAGGUGCGAAAGCGUGGGGAGCAAACAGGAUUAGAUACCCUAGUAGUCC